rnacentral:rRNA from 1 species
CAGUCGCCGCGGUAAUACGUAGGGUGCGAGCGUUAAUCGGAAUUACUGGGCGUAAAGCGUGCGCAGGCGGUUCGUUAAGACAGAUGUGAAAUCCCCGGGCUUAACCUGGGAACUGCAUUUGUGACUGGCGAGCUAGAGUAUGGCAGAGGGGGGUAGAAUUCCACGUGUAGCAGUGAAAUGCAUAGAGAUGUGGAGGAAUACCGAUGGCGAAGGCAGCCCCCUGGGCCAAUACUGACGCUCAUGCACGAAAGCGUGGGGAGCAAACAGGAUUAGAUACCCGAGUAGUCCCUGUCUCUUAUAC